UGUAAUUCUCUAAUUACGUCUAUUUGUUCAAUUUUUUAUAUGAUAUCGAAUAUUCAUCGUAAAUAGAUGGUUUAAGAUGCCAAAAAAAUUAUUUACUUGGUGAAUAUAAUACAUCAAAUAUUACGAAUACAUUAUUUAGUUAAAUAAAUAACCAAAAACCAAAAAUUCAAACCCGCGCUGGCGCGCGGAUCAGGGUCUAGUCUAUCUAUUAUUAUAAAAGAGUGUUUACUCCCUCCUGGUGCUGCCACCUCAGCAUCCAGCUAGGAAAGCCGUUUAACCAGGAGAUGCCACGUGUCCCAUGAUUCUCGACGCAACGUAUCCUUUAAUCGUUGGUAUGUUGGGCUUUGUUUUGUUGGUUUAUUUGUGUACUUGGGCUCCGAAGAUCGAAGAUUUUUCUGGGCCGAUGGAGUACGGGUGAAGUGAUGAAACGAGGUUCGUCUUCGUCUCUCCUCUUCGUGUGGCGGCGAUGUGGUGACGAUUGUGUUUCUUCUCACAACCUGAAACAGUCGGUUUAAUGGCUCCAUGAUCCAUCAUUCACGAUCUACAUUCAAUGAGAUCGACGUUGAUGAGCCAGUUUCCGUCGUCGACAAAGACGAUCCGGCGUCUGCUACCCAUUCAGUGGCCUCAGCCUCAUAACGAAGAGAUUUGUCUUGCCAUGGAAGAAGCUGAGUUCGAAGAAAAGAGAGAAGAGAAGAGAAGAGAAAGUUUACGCAGAAAGAAACUGAGAGUUAUCGAAGAAGGAGAUGGCGAUGGAA